GAGCACGUAGGUGGGUUUGUAAGUCAGAGGUGAAAGCCUGGAGCUCAACUCCAGAACUGCCUUUGAGACUGCAUCGCUUGAAUCCAGGAGAGGUGAGUGGAAUUCCGAGUGUAGAGGUGAAAUUCGUAGAUAUUCGGAAGAACACCAGUGGCGAAGGCGGCUCACUGGACUGGUAUUGACGCUGAGGUGCGUAAGCGUGGGGAGCAAACAGGAUUAGAUACCCUGGUAGUCCAUGCCGUAAACGUUGGGCACUAAGUAGAGGGG
rnacentral:rRNA from 1 species